rnacentral:rRNA from 1 species
AUUGAACGCUGGCGGCAUGCCUUACACAUGCAAGUCGAACGGCAGCGCGGGGCAACCUGGCGGCGAGUGGCGAACGGGUGAGUAAUAUAUCGGAACGUGCCCUGGAGUGGGGGAUAACGUAGCGAAAGUUACGCUAAUACCGCAUACGAUCUGAGGAUGAAAGCAGGGGACCUUCGGGCCUUGUGCUCCUGGAGCGGCCGAUAUCUGAUUAGCUAGUUGGUGGGUAAAAGCCUACCAAGGCGACGAUCAGUAGCUGGUCUGAGAGGACGACCAGCCACACUGGAACUGAGACACGGUCCAGACUCCUACGGGAGGCAGCAGUGGGGAAUUUUGGACAAUGGGGGCGAACCCUGAUCCAGCAAUGCCGCGUGUGUGAAGAAGGCCUC